rnacentral:rRNA from 1 species
CUACGGGCUGCUCCAGUAGGGAAUCUUCGGCAAUGGACGGAAGUCUGACCGAGCAACGCCGCGUGAGUGAAGAAGGUUUUCGGAUCGUAAAGCUCUGUUGUAAGAGAAGAACGAGUGUGAGAGUGGAAAGUUCACACUGUGACGGUAUCUUACCAGAAAGGGACGGCUAACUACGUGCCAGCAGCCGCGGUAAUACGUAGGUCCCGAGCGUUGUCCGGAUUUAUUGGGCGUAAAGCGAGCGCAGGCGGUUAGAUAAGUCUGAAGUUAAAGGCUGUGGCUUAACCAUAGUACGCUUUGGAAACUGUUUAACUUGAGUGCAGAAGGGGAGAGUGGAAUUCCAUGUGUAGCGGUGAAAUGCGUAGAUAUAUGGAGGAACACCGGUGGCGAAAGCGGCUCUCUGGUCUGUAACUGACGCUGAGGCUCGAAAGCGUGGGGAGCAAACAGGAUUAGAUACCCCGGUAGUC